UAAUUAUGCCACGGGAAUGAUAACCUUGUAAUCUGGUCAGGAUAGAAAUAUAGCAGCCACGUCGAGAAGUAUUGUGUUCUGUGGUCUUUUUUUUAUU
rnacentral:SRP_RNA from 2 species